CAAAACAACUUCCGGCAGCGGAAGUAAAUCCCUGCCACUUCAAACAUCGCAGAAAGGAGCUGGGAAGGCGGGUAUCGUAAGAACUUCACGAAUGGGUCUUCCGCUGCUACAAACACGGAAUUUACCAGCCUCUACGAGAUUCCGACUUGAGCAGAGCCACUGCCCGCCGUCUUCCUGCCCCUCAUCUCGAUCGCUUGUGCCCGUGCUGCACGGAAAGGUGGUAGAGUAAGAAUUCCGCACGUGGAGCCCACGGGGAGGCCCCUGAAACUGAGAGGACAGUAGAGGCUGCCUGAUACUGACGGGGAAGAAGGAAACUGGGAAAAUAACUGUCAUGUUGGAGAUAAAGACUCCCUAAAGACACAGAUAUCUCCACGCA